rnacentral:rRNA from 1 species
AGGCGAGGCCGACAGGCGUAGUCGAUGGAUGACGGGUUGAUAUUCCCGUACCGGCGAAGCACCGCCCAUGCUGACGCGCGGGUGCUAACCCACGCCCGGCCGCCAUGUAGGCCGCGCCUACUCCUUUCGGGGGGUGGUGUGGUUGUGGUGGUGGGGUCUGGGGAUCCUCCGUGCAGGUAGGCAAGCGUGUUAACAGGGGUGACGCACAGUGGUAGCCCGGCGGACCUGAUGGCUUGGUCCGUUCAAGCGCGCAGCCCGUCCUCCAGGUAAAUCCGGGGUGACUGUCUUUGAUGACGGGGGUGAGGCGUGAUGGUGACCUCACGUUGGUGGGGGAUAGCAGGGUGAUCCUGGGGUGCCGAGAAAAGCCUCGACGCGAUGGUGCCAGCCGCCCGUACCCUAAACCGACACAGGUGGUCGGGCAGAGUAUGCCUAGGCGCACGAGUGAAUCAUGGUUAAGGAACUCGGCAAAAUGCCCCCGUAACUUCGGGAGAAGGGGGGCCCGAUCCCUUGAAGCCCCGUGGCGGGCUAGGGGGGUGGGUCGCAGAGGCCAGGGGGAAGCGACUGUUUACUAAAAACACAGGUCCGUGCGAAGCCGUAAGGCGAUGUAUACGGACUGACGCCUGCCCGGUGCUGGAAGGUUAAGAGGAACCAUCAACCCUCGGGUGAAGUGGUGAAUUUAAGCCCCAGUAAACGGCGGUGGUAACUAUAACCAUCCUAAGGUAGCGAAAUUCCUUGUCGGGUAAGUUCCGACCUGCACGAAUGGCGUAACGACUUCCCCGCUGUCUCAACCAUGAGCUCGGCGAAAUUGCAGUACGAGUAAAGAUGCUCGUUUCGCGCAGAAGGACGGAAAGACCCCGGGACCUUUACUACAGCUUGGUAUUGGCGCCCGCUAUAGCUUGUGCAGGAUAGGUGGGAGACUGUGAAGCCGUUACGCCAGUAGCGGUGGAGUCGUCCUUGAAAUACCACUCUGGUUAUGGCGUGCGCCUGAACCUGGGCCCGUGAUCCGGGUUAGGGACAGUGCCUGGUGGGUAGUUUAACUGGGGCGGUUGCCUCCUAAAGUGUAACGGAGGCGCUCAAAGGUUCCCUCAGCCUGGUCGGCAACCAGGUGUUGAGUGCAAGUGCACAAGGGAGCUUGACUGUGAGACCGACGGGUCGAGCAGGUACGAAAGUAGGAACUAGUGAUCCGGCGAUCCCGUGUGGGUGGGUCGUCGCUCAACGGAUAAAAGGUACCCCGGGGAUAACAGGCUGAUCCUGCCCAAGAGUCCAUAUCGACGGCAUGGUUUGGCACCUCGAUGUCGGCUCGUCGCAUCCUGGGGCUGGAGCAGGUCCCAAGGGUUGGGCUGUUCGCCCAUUAAAGCGGUACGCGAGCUGGGUUUAGAACGUCGUGAGACAGUUCGGUCCCUAUCCUCUGCGCGCGCAGGAGACUUGAGAAGGCCUGUCCCUAGUACGAGAGGACCGGGACGGACGAACCUCUGGUGUGCCAGUUGUCCCGCCCGGGGCACGGCUGGUUGGCUACGUUCGGGACGGGUAACCGCUGAAAGCAUCUAAGCGGGAAACCAUCUUCAAGAUAAGGUCUCCGCAGGACACCUCGGUGUCCUGGUAGGCCCCCAGCAGACUACUGGGUUGAUAGGCCAGAAGUGGAAGACCGGUAACGGUUGGGAGCUGACUGGUACUAAUCGGCCGACACAAACAAC